AUUGAACGCUGGCGGCAGGCCUAACACAUGCAAGUCGCACGAGUGGCGGACGGGUGAGUAGUGUCUGGGAAACUGCCUGAUGGAGGGGGAUAACUACUGGAAAAGGUAGCUAAUACCGCAUACCAUCAGAUGUGCCCCUAUGGGAUUAGCUUGAUGGUGGUGUAACGGCGCACCCAGGCGAAGAUCCCUAGCUGGUCUGAGAGGAUGACCAGCCAAACUGGAACUGAGACACGGUCCCGACUCCUACUGGAGGCAUCAGUGGGGAAUAUUGCACAAUGGGCGCAAGCCUGAUGCAGCCAUGCCGCGUGUAUGAAGAAGGCCUUCGGGUUGUAAAGUACUUUCAGCGGGGAGUCGUUACCCGCAGAAGAAGCACCGGCUAACUCCGUGCCAGCAGCCGCGGUAAUAC
rnacentral:rRNA from 1 species